CUAAAUAUUGAACUUAUUAAAUUUAAAUCUUAAGUCCGCUUCUUAUGGUAAGUGGUGGUUUUGUUGUGUAGCGCAAAUGGAAUGGCAGCCCCCACGAGGCCAAGAUGAGUAUUCUUAUUGUUGAUGUGGCCAUGCCAUUAUCCUUGGCCUGCCGCGCAGCAGAAGACGAAGGGUAGCCCACCCCUUUCCACCACUAAAUGACUAGUUUUAUACAAAUUAUAUAUGGUCAUACACUCUUGGAUUCUCUGUCAUUCCCCAGUAGCCAGUAGGCAAAAAACCACCAAGUCUUACCACUGAUUCCACUAAUAAUAGUCCUGGCCACAUCAGUUUUCUGCUGCCUCUGCCUUAGCUAAGUAAUGGGAAUUGUGUAAACUACUUAAAAUAAAGACAUUAAGGGUGUUCACGCACAUCGAGAAAGCAAUAUGAUACUCAAAUAAAGAAGAAAAGUUGCGGUAGGUUGAUUGUCAGAAUGAUUAUAAAAUAAAAUAAGUACAUAUUGGACCUAAAUUGUAACGAAUAUAGAGAAUUCGUCGAACUCCACUAAUUUGGAAUUGAGUAGUAGUCGAUAUAUAGAUAUUAAGUUUUUUCCUUCCCCAUCUCUCUUUACAUGUGUACAUAAACCUGUAGCUAGCCAUCUACCAAACUCACUGUGAGUUACUCAACCUAAUACAAGUACUGCAUAUUGCAGAUAAUCUUAACAUUUACACUUAUACAACAUCCAAGUUCCUUGUAUCUCAUAUUUUUGGCAAUGAAAACUGGGAUGAGAGUGAGAAGAUCCUUAACAGUAGCGUUUUUUCCAGUGGCCUGCCUGUUCCUGCUUUCUUUUGUAGCUUGUGCAGGACCAUUGAGGUGGAUUCUUCUAUCAAGCUAUCUCAUCUACUACCUAGCUUUGUCUCUCUGGAUUUUGGCUGCAUUGCAUACAACAUGACAUUCGAUCCAUACCCUGAGGAAACCAAGAAUGUUUUGAAAUGAGGAAUUUCCAUCAUUCACUGUCUCUAUUUUCUUGGUUAUGUUCUCAAGCUAUCUCUUGCCUUUUGCUUUCCCUCAACCACUUUGAAAGAAUCAACAAUCUCUGUGUACUGAAGCAUAAAGAGGAUAAUGUGUAAUAUUCAUCUUCAGCACGUUACUUUAUAAACAACCUGUGUCCGAUACUCUGGCA